rnacentral:rRNA from 1 species
CCAGACGAAUCGCAAAAUUCAACCAGGCCUUCCUGGAUUUUUAAAUAUAUAAAGUGUAAUUAGAGGCUAAAAAAUUCAAUAGUUCAAUAUGAAUUGAUAUAUGGAAUGUAAUUUUGAAAUUGCAAGACACCACGUCUUUUGAGUUGAAAGUGGAUAAAAGAGGAAAGAGGAAAAAAGCAAAAAGAACAUGCUCUGAUUAAUAUAAACCUAACUCCUCAUACCAAUUGCAAUUGUGUAUUNGANUUNCAAANNCAACCUAAGAGAGGCAGCAGUGGGGAAUUCUUACGGGAGGCAGCAGUGGGGAAUUUUGCGCAAUGGGGGCAACCCUGACGCAGUGACGUCGCGUAAGUGAUGAAGGCCUUCGGGUUGUAAAGCUCUGUUAAGGGGGAAGAUAGUGACGGUACCCCUUAAGAAAGCCCCGGCUAACUACGUGCCAGCAGCCGCGGUAAUACGUAGGGGGCGAGCGUUGUCCGGAAUUACUGGGCGUAAAGGGCGUGUAGGCGGCCUGUUAAGUCAGCUGUGAAAUUCCCCGGCUCAACUGGGGGCUUGCAGUUGAAACUAGCAGACUUGAGUGCAGGAGAGGAAGGUGGAAUUCCCAGUGUAGCGGUGAAAUGCGUAGAUAUUGGGAGGAACACCGGUGGCGAAGGCGGCCUUCUGGCCUGUAACUGACGCUGAGGCGCGAAAGCUAGGGAGCAAACAGGAUUAGAUACCCUGGUAGUCCCAGCGUAAACGCUGGGUACUAGGUGUAGGGGGUUUAGACGCCUUCAGUGCCGUAGUAACGCAUUAAGUGCCCGCUGGUCGACUGCAAAAA